rnacentral:rRNA from 1 species
AACGAACGCUGGCGGCAUGCCUAACACAUGCCAGUCGAACGAGACCUUCGGGUCUAGUGGCGCACGGGUGCGUAACGCGUGGGAACCUGCCCUUAGGUUCGGAAUAACUCCCCGAAAGGGGUGCUAAUACCGGAUAAUGUCUUCGGACCAAAGAUUUAUCGCCUUUGGAUGGGCCCGCGUUGGAUUAGCUAGUUGGUAGGGUAAAAGCCUACCAAGGCGACGAUCCAUAGCUGGUCUGAGAGGAUGAUCAGCCACACUGGGACUGAGACACGGCCCAGAAUCCUACGGGAGGCAGCAGUGGGGAAUAUUGGACAAGGGGCGAAAGCCUGAUCCAGCAAUGCCGCGUGAGUGAUGAAGGCCGUAGGGUUGUAAAGCUCUUUUACCCGGGAUGAUAAUGACAGUACCGGGAGAAUAAGCUCCGGCUAACUCCGUG